rnacentral:rRNA from 1 species
GACGAACGCUGGCGGCGUGCUUAACACAUGCAAGCCGAACGGAAAGGCCCUGCUUUUGUGGGGUGCUCGAGUGGCGAACGGGUGAGUAACACGUGAGUAACCUGCCCCUGACUUUGGGAUAACUUCAGGAAACUGGGGCUAAUACCGGAUAGAAGAUCCUGCUGCAUGGUGGGGGCUGGAAAGUUUCGGCGGUUGGGGUUGGACUCGAGGCUCAUCAGCCUGUUGGUGGGGUAGUGGCUUACCAAAGCUUUGACGGGUAGCCGGCCUGAGAGCGUGACCGGCGACUUUGGGACUGAGAUACGGCCCAGACUCCUACGGGAGGCAGCGGUGGGGAAUAUUGCACAAUGGGCCGAAGUCUGAUGCAGCAGCGCCGCGUGCUGGAUAACGGCCUUCGGGUUGUAAACCGCUUGCGCCUGUGACGAACAGUGAGUGACGGUAAUGGGUAAAGAAGCACCGGCUAACUACGUG